rnacentral:tRNA from 1 species
AAGAAAGAAGCAUUAAGUGGUUUGAUGCGGUUGGCUUGAAACCAACAUGUGAGGGUUCGAUUCCUUCCUUUCUUGCACUUGUACAAAGGCUGGUUCUUCGAAGGUGUGGUAUGGGGGUGGGCAGCCAUGAAUUCA